UACGAGGGGGGCGAGCGUUGUUCGGAAUUAUUGGGCGUAAAGGGUGCGUAGGCGGUUCGGUAAGUUUCGUGUGAAAUCUUCGGGCUCAACUCGAAGCCUGCACGAGAUACUGCCGGGCUUGAGUGUGGGAGAGGUGAGUGGAAUUUCCGGUGUAGCGGUGAAAUGCGCAGAUAUCAGGAAGAACACCCGUGGCUAAGGCGGCUCUCUAGUACGGUACUGACGCUGAGACGCGAAAGCGUGGGGAGCGAACAGG
rnacentral:rRNA from 1 species